GCGGUAGUAGUUUAGUGGUAAAAUGAGGGACUGUGGAUCCCUAGUUGCGGGUUCGAUUCCCGUCUACCGCC
rnacentral:tRNA from 1 species